ACUUUUAAACAUGCAAGUCGAGCGGUAACAGACAUAAAGAUUCAGCUUGCUGAAUCCGGUGCUGACGAGCGGCGAACGGGUGAGUAACGCGUAGGAAUCUACCCAGUAGCGGGGGAUAGCCAGAGGAAACUCUGAUUAAUACCGCAUACGCCCUGAGGGGGAAAGGGGGCAAUUUAUUGCUCUCACUAUUGGAUGAGCCUGCGUAAGAUUAGCUUGUUGGUAGGGUAAAGGCCUACCAAGGCUACGAUCUUUAGCUGGUCUGAGAGGACGAUCAGCCACAUUGGGACUGAGACACGGCCCAGACAUCUACGGAUGGCAGCAGUUAAGAAUAUUGGACAAUGGGGGCAACCCUGAUCCAGGUAUACCGCGUGUGUGAAGAAGGCCUUAGGGUUGUAAAGCACUUUAAUCAGAGAAGAAGCAUUUUAAGUUAAUACCUUAAUUUGUUGACGUUAACUGAAGAAUAAGGACC
rnacentral:rRNA from 1 species